AGAGUUUGAUUAUGGCUCAGGACGAACGCUGGCGGCGUGCUUAACACAUGCAAGUCGAACGGGGAUUAGUUGAUAGAGAGCUUCGGCAGGAUAUCGAUUAAUUCGAGUGGCGGACGGGUGAGUAACGCGUGAGCAACCUGUCCCAGACAGGGGGAUAACACUUGGAAACAGGUGCUAAUACCGCAUAAGACCACGGGAUCACAUGGUUCUGGGGUAAAAGGAGCAAUCCGGUUUGGGGUGGGCUCGCGUCCGAUUAGCCAGUUGGCGGGGUAACGGCCCACCAAAGCGACGAUCGGUAGCCGACCUGAGAGGGUGAACGGCCACAUUGGAACUGAGAGACGGUCCAAACUCCUACGGGAGGCAGCAGUGGGGAAUAUUGGGCAAUGGGCGAAAGCCUGAACCCCAGCAACGCCGCGUGAGUGAAGAAGGCCUUCGGGUUGUAAAGCUCUGUUAUAGUUGACGAAGGAAGUGACGGUAGGCUAUAAGGAAGCCCCGGCUAACUACGUGCCAGCAGCCGC
rnacentral:rRNA from 1 species